UGAAAGUCAUCCAGGGAAUUAAUGCCUUGUUAGGGGCCCUCCUGCCCUUCUGUGAUGACCACUGGGUGAGAAGCCCCUCCUGGAUGUUAUGUCACUCUGUUCAGUUGUCUCAGCCUCCUGGCAGUAUCACAGGUGAGGAAACCGAUAGAGAAGGCUUUGCCAAGCCUCAGUAAGGUGUGACUUUCAGUCACUUCCCCUUGGCCCAAACAGGAAGUCCCAUUGUUCCAGAGAUCUUGAUAUGGCAGAAGUGGGCAUGGGGUUUGGCCUUUGGUGGCAAGAAAGUCUCGCUUAUUAUAAGACUAUCCAGUGUUCCUUAAUACUAGACUAUCAUUCAAAGUCUCAGACUUCUGAGAGACCCAAUCAUAAUGGAGCCCUCCUGUUGGAACAGCUCAGGAGCUUUCUGAUUGGCUGUUGGUGACAUCAUUCAAGGGGCACUAUUUGCUGCCUCUGAAUGGAAGCAUUGUGAUGAGGGUGAUGAUCCAGCAGUCCCAGUGUGUCAGGUCCUGGGCUGGGAUCCAUGUCGUCCUUACAACAGUUCAGCAAGAAACAUGUUAUUCGAUCCAUUCACUGAGGAGGAAACUGAAAUCACUCGGAGAGGAGGAGUGAUUCAGCCCCAAAUUCCAAAGUGGUAGAAAUGGACUUGGGCUUCCCUAAUGUCUUAGCUAGUCCCCCAUCUACCUGUCCAUUCCUGGGACAGGUGAGGUAAGACAGUAGGGACCAGACAGUAACUGAUGGUGCAGAGGAGUCCUUGACUUAACAGGCCACUUGAUGCCAAAGAAUAGCUACUACAAACACCAGCUCCUAGCAAACAGCCCACACUGACCAGCCAAUUGCCUGAGGCCAGAUAGGUUUGCACACAACCUUCAAUCUGUUAAGAAAGGGCCUUGGGUCCAGCCACCCUUGAGUGUGGGAAUCAGUGAGUCUAGCACAGGGCUUACCCGGAAUUUCAUCAGCCCUCAGAACCAAGCUUUGUGACCCAUAGGGUAAUCAUGCCACAAACAAUCCAACCAAAAUGAAACCAUCCCAGGCCACUCUGAACUUAGAAGCCAAAGCGGGAAACAGAGAACUCUACCAAUGUGGAGGCAUCACUCUAUCCUGGGCCCAGCAAACUCAGGAGGCAGCUGCAUCUACAUUUCGAUUAAGCAUCGAGAGAUGCAAGGAAGUAUUACUGACUUCUAAAUUUUCCCUUCACCAUAGUCAUUCUGCCUGAACUUCCACAGUUAGACUGAGACAUAAAAUGCUAAUCUACCUGGAAAGGUAAUGCCUGCUAUCUGCAAUUGGCAUCAAAACAUAAAUUAGCUUCUGCCUAGAGAUGGUAACAGAGCAGAGGGCAUCACAAGAAAGCUAAGUUUUGAGAGGAGGGCAUGCAAAUAUGAAGAAAUAGGAACUUUGCUUGGGGGGUAUCCUGGGGAGAUUCAUAAGUGCCUGGAAUGAGGGAUUCUGUCCAAAGGGAAAAGGAAAGACCAGACAGAUGGAAUUUUCUGGCUGCACAAACUCCAGAGGCUGGCCCCUUACUCAUCAGAGAGUUGAAACCCUCAGUUAGGCCUCUCAGAACAGGAGUAGAACCCAUAGUUGGGGGCCAAGAGGGUCACAGCUGGGAGAAACUUGGGGAAUGAUGGAGUCCCAACCUCUUGUUUCACAGACAGGGGUAUAUGUCAGAGCCAUUCUUCCAGAUCAGAUGACCUGUUAAACUGAGACUUCUGCACCAUCUGAACCAUCAGUCACUCUCUGGCCCAGAGAGGUGGUGUUAUUUGCCAAGGACACACAGCAGGUGGCCAAGAUGGAGCCAAGCCAUUUUCCCCACUGCAGGGACCCCUGAUCUCCAUUCCCCUGGACAUCUCAAGGGCACAAAUUCUCUGGACACACGGAGGGAAUAAUGCUGACAUUUUAUAGAAGCUGACCCACUGGAUAUCCUUCUCACCCAACUCCAUUAGGCUGGGGAGAGUAAGAGGCACGGUGACAAGGUGGCAAAGAUGUCACCAUGCCAUCCAAUCACGAGGUCUCCAGGAAACUGUAUAAGAAGGACACCUCCAGAAACUCCUGGCACUACUGAACAAAUGUAUAAUAUCCCUGGGUAAAACCAAGAGUCCUCUCGCCUUCUCGCCAUUUGGUAACUGUUGUGCGCCUGACACAGCUUUACCCUCUUUGAAUGGGGAGAGCAGUAGUUUCUGUUCCACAGGUUGCUAUAAGGAUGAACUGUGAUCUCAUCAUUCCUCAUAAUAAUGGCUUAUCAAGAUGAAGUAAUGAUUACCAUUGCCAUUUUACUGAUGAUGAAACAAAGGCUAAGAGACUUGAAGAAUUUGCCCACAAUCUUGUAGCAAUGAAGGUACAGAGUCAGCCAUCUGGAACUCAAGCUGGCUCGACCCUCUGCCCCUCCAAACUGGACAUACAAGGUCAGGUCACUGCAUUCAUUCCUUACCUUGUACAGUGCCCAGAUUAUUCAUCUGUGUUACAAGGCAGGUAGAGAAGAGAUUAUGGACUCGGUUUUGUAUGGGCAAACUGAGGCACACAGUCAGAAAGAAUACACCAGCUGUUCUUUAGCUGAGAGGCCUUAGUUUCUUCCACCAGGACCAUCUAUGAAUAUGACCACCAUGUCUCUUCCACUGUCCACCAGGAGAUACUCCCUAGCAUGUCCCAACAGUGAAGGCUCAACAGAUCCUAAUAGCCUAAGACAGAUAAGAAACCAGGCUGUCUAAUUUCCCCCGGGGAUUAGGGAGCUACCAGUCCAGUUCCUCACAGAAGCAUGAUGCUGUGGCAGGACUAUGGAGCGAGGAGUCAGGAGACCUGGGAUGUGGUCUGGGCUCAGUUACCAGUGACCAUGUGACCCCAACAAGUCACUUUCCUACCUCCUGCUAGAGACAAGCUGGAAGCCACACUCAUGACCCAUGAUCAAACUCCCUCAGCACUUUGCAAAUAGACUUUCUGACCUACAUACAUCUGCAGUCCCCGUCAGUGGAUUGUCUCCACAAUUUCUUACCAAAAGCGAAACCUCUCAGGCUAAUGAGGCCAGAAAUGAGGAGUGCAUGGGCCUGUCUUUUGCCAUAAAUAAGGUCUUGGGGGGAAAAUCCAGAACCUAUUCCAGAGAGGGGUGGAAAAACACCCCACCUCAUUUUAUAUCCCAUGUGGUCCCAAAACCUUACAGGUGCUUCCAACAAGAAGGCCAGCACUGCCUUCUUAUGAAAAUAAAAAAACCCCAGUUUGCAUCAAGGCACAUUUUGCAUGCUUGAAGAGUAUUUAUAGCCAGAUUCUUAGAGGCUCCUCAUCUCCUCUUCUGCUCCUUCACAAAUGAAGCACUUAAAUCAUUUUGCAAUAGUGAUGUCUUUUUAAUAAGCCUAGUCAAAUGGAGUUUUCACUGACGAGACACGACACGUUUUAGCAAUGUUUAUAUUACUGUUUCUCCCCCUCCAGAGACAAAGGGGUGGCAUGCAGAGGCCACGAACCGCAGCAGGGGUGUCAUCAUGAUGCAUGGUCCUGGAAGGGUGUCUGAUCCCUGUCUGUUAACAGAAAUUCCCUUCCAAGGAAGCAGAUGCACAUGGAAGAAGAUAUCUUCUAGCUGUUCUCUGGCCUAAUGUGUCUCAAAGUGUGGUCCCAGGACAGGCACCUUUAGCACUCUAGCAUGUUAGAAAUACAGCCUCCCCAAGGCCACGCCAAGCCUACUGAUUCAGAAUCUCUAAGGCUGGAGUCUAGCAAUCUGUAUUCGGAGAAGUCUUACAGGGCAUUCUGACACAUUUGCAAGUGUGAGAACCACUGCUCUAAAGCAACCUCACCCUCUGAAUCAGGAUUGCCUAGGGGCUGGAGGGCUCCCUACCCCCCAUACCAAGAACCUCCUCUUGGGUCAGACCCUCAGGAGGUGGACUGGGGAAGAUACAGAGCUAACUGUUCCCCAGGUGACUGGAAUGCUCUUUAAAGUGUAAUUACAGGUCUGGUGCAAUGGUUCACGCCAGCACUCUGGGAGGCCAAGGCAGGAGGAUCGCUUGAGCCCAGGAAUUGGAGACCAACCUGGGCAACAAAGUGAG
rnacentral:lncRNA from 1 species